CGUCACAACUGGCCCCGCCCCUCAUUGUCAGUCCCGGGGAGCCGGAGGAGGCGCCGGCCGCCGGGAGCCGAGCGCUGGACCCCUCGGCGGGCGGGAGCGCGGGCCGGAGUCGCCGAGGUCAAGAGGCAGCUGCCAUUGAAAGAUAGUGAGCACCUGUUUCCAAGACAGCAAGCACCAGGGGGGCCACCAGGAGCAUUAACGGAAAGCUUAAGUUACCUAAAUGACUGAUAAUGGUCUCCAGCUGCCAAAGAAGAUUGUGGAUGCCAAGAGAAAGGUAACCAUUUCUCAUCCCCUCGAGUGGAACUGGAUGCCUCUAGGAGCUCACACCGGCUGGCAGUAGUCAUGGCUGAAUUUACAAACUACAAGGAUACCGCCUCCAGCCGCCACCUGCGGUUUAAGUUACAGAGUCUAAGCCGCCGUCUCGAUGAGUUGGAGGAAGCCACAAAAAACCUCCAGAAAGCAGAGGAUGAGCUCCUGGAUCUCCAGGACAAGGUGAUUCAGGCAGAAGGCAGCAACUCCAGCAUGCUGGCAGAGAUUGAAGUGCUGCGCCAGCGAGUGCUGAGAAUCGAAGGCAAAGAUGAGGAGAUUAAGAGAGCGGAGGACCUGUGUCAGCUGAUGAAGGAGAAGCUUGAAGAGGAAGAAAACCUCACCCGGGAGCUGAAAUCAGAGAUUGAGCGGCUUCAGAAACGAAUGGCUGAACUGGAGAAGCUGGAGGAGGCCUUUGGCAGGAGUAAGAAUGAUUGUACCCAACUCUGUCUGAGUCUGAAUGAGGAGAGAAACCUGACAAAGAAGAUCUCCUCUGAGCUGGAAAUGCUCAGGGUCAAAGUGAAAGAACUGGAAUCUUCCGAGGACCGCCUGGAUAAAACUGAGCAGAGUUUAGUGUCAGAGUUAGAAAAGCUGAAAUCAUUAACUCUGAGCUUUGUAAGUGAGAGAAAAUACUUGAAUGAAAAGGAGAAAGAAAAUGAGAAACUGAUAAAAGAGCUCACUCAGAAACUGGAGCAGAACAAAAAAAUGAACCGAGAUUAUACAAGGAAUGCUUCUAAUCUUCUGGAAAGGAAUGACCUACGGAUUGAGGACGGGAUCUCCAACACACUGCCAUGCAAAGAAUCAAGAAGGAAGGGCACUCUGGAUUAUCUAAAGCAGGUAGAGAACGAGACAAGAAACAAAUCCGAAAAUGAAAAGAACCGAAAUCAGGAAGACAAUAAAGUCAAAGACCUUAACCAAGAGAUUGAGAAACUUAAGACACAAAUCAAGCAUUUUGAAUUUUUGGAAGAAGAACUUAAGAAAAUGAGGGCCAAAAAUAAUGAUCUUCAGGAUAAUUACCUAAGUGAACAAAAUAAAAACAAACUCUUAGCCAGCCAACUGGAGGAGAUAAAGCUACAAAUCAAGAAACAGAAAGAGUUAGAGAAUGGGGAGGUGGCAGGGGACGAGGCCUUCCUGUCCAGCAAAGGCAGGCACGAGAGGACUAAGUUCAGAGGCCAUGGGAGUGAGGCUCCUGUGUCCAAGCACACGCCCCGGGAACUGUCCCCUCAGCAUAAGCGGGAGAGGCAUCGAAACAGGGAGUUUGUGCUCAACAGUGAAAACUAUUCUCUGGGCAACAGGCAGGUCUCCUCUCCUAGUUUCACUAAUAGGAGGGCAGCCAAAGCUUCCAGCGUAGGGGCGGCUGCAGACAGUGGGACUCAGGAGACACGGAGAGCUGAAGACCGGUAUGCAUCAGGCUCUUCUCAGAGUGAAGGGAGGAGGCCCCGGGAGCAGCCCUCAGUGCUCAGCCGCUACCCACCAGCUGCUCAGGAGCACAGUAAAGCUUGGAAGGGUACUCCCAAGCCAGGUACCGAGAGUGGGUUGAAGGGAAAAGUGGAGAAGACAACACGAACAUUUAGUGACAAUACCACCCAUGGAUCUGUUCCCAGUGACAUACUGGGUAGAGCUGACAAGGCUUCUGACACCUCCGUGGAGGCCCUCUUUGGCAAGAGGGGGCAGGUACCCAGCAGUGGAAGUCCGUUAAAUCAGGCUGCAGACUGUGGCAGUCCUAAGGGGAUUGGGUCCCUGGCCUCAUCUCGAAGAUCUUCCUCAGAAGGGCUCUGCAAGGGCAAAAAGGCUGCCAGUGGCCAGGAGGCUGAUACCGGUUCCCCAAAUUCCAAGCCUCCACUUUUAUCAAAGUAUCCUUACAGCUCCAGAAGCCAAGAGAACAUCCUUCAGGGCUUUUCAACCCCAAAUAAAGAAGGCAUCGAUCAACCCGUAGCUGCUGUGAUGGAGGACAGCAGUCCGCACGAGGCCCUGAGGUGCCGAGUCAUCAAAUCCAGUGGCAGAGAGAAGCCAGACUCAGAUGACGACGUGGACGUAACCUCUCUCGUGACUGCCAAGUUGGUAAACACCACCAUCACUCCGGAGCCAGAGCCCAAACACCAACCCAACUCUAGGGAAAAAGCCAAAUCCCGAGGGGGACUUAGAACCUCCCUGUUUGAGACUGAUAAAGAUGUUGGGACAGAAAAUGAAUCUGUGAAACCUGUCCGAGCUUCCGCCAAUGCCGUGGAGUUCCCAGAUGCCAACGGUGCUGGGGCGACAAGCCAGCGGCCCUUCAGCCCCAGAGAGGCCUUGCGGUCCAGGGCCAUCAUCAAACCUGUCAUCAUUGAUAAGGAUGUGAAAAAAAUCAUGGGAGGAUCUGGAACCGAGGCCCCCACGGAGAAGCAGAAAUCCACCUCCAGACCAGGGCCAAACAAGGUGACAAGCAGCAUAACCAUCUACCCCUCCGACAGCCCCAGCCCUCGGUCCGCCCCAGGUGAUGCCCCGCGGGAGAGGCACACGUCCACCAGCAACAUCCAGCUUGGGCCAGCAGAGCUCCCAUCAGGUAGCAACCACGUCAGCGCCGCCUUGGAGCUCUCCAUUCACAAACAUGACCUCGCCCUGCAGCUCCCAGAAGCUGAAAGAAUGGGAGAUGGGCCCCUGAAGAACAGGCCAGAAACAGUGGUCUCUCGGAGUAGCAUUAUAAUCAAGCCCUCAGAGCCCGUGGAGAGAAAUAGCCACGCACCCCCAGCGGAGACAAUCAGGUGGAAAAGCCAUGGUGCCCCUUCAGAAGCGGGCUCUGCAGACGCCAGGCAUGUUACCUUGUGGAACGCCUGGAAGAGUCGGCGAGACUUGAACUCUUUAGAAGACCCCCCAGCUCGAGGAGGCAGAAACAUGGAAGCUCCCAACGCCUACACCCAGAGGGCCGCCACAGACUGUUCAGACCUCGGACAGCCCAGGUUGUACCUUUGCGAGCAGGGCACUCAGAGGGCAGGAAAUUCAGGGGACACCCCUGAGCUUGUCUCCAGAAGGAGCCACAGUAGCCUCACUGUGUCCGAGGUGCUCACUCGUCGGAAUCGGGCAGGAGAUGCAGCCACCGCGGCAGCCUGGAACCACUCGGCAGGCGCGGAGGAAGGGGACGACUGUGCACUCGGUGUCCACAGGCGACCGCACAACUCCCUGGAGCGGUGUGAGCUGCCUGCGAAGCCAGGGCCGUCAGAGCCGGGGCGAGCCCGGGCCGAGGAGCGGUUACGGCCAGCCAGGCCCUGCGCCGAGGACAACUGAGCCUGCUGGGUGAGGUCUGCCAUCUCCUCUGCUCCCGCUUCUCCGCUCUCCUGCCUUCCUGCCCUGUGAAGGAUGCCGGGCCAGUUAACCAGGCUGGACGCCAGGCCUUGGCUGGGAGAGACGGCAGACCAGGCUGUGGCUCAGGUCAUUUUGCCAGUUGGCCAGAGGGGAUCAGAAACUACAAGCUGGACAUAAGUCACCCAGGCCCAGCCUUCCCCGAUGCAUGAGUCCUCUCUCCUUGUCCCUGUCCCCAGGUCAGAUGGCCCCUCUGGCCCCCAAAUGGGGAAAGCUAUAGAAACCCCUUGUAUCCUCAUCACACAACAGCAGCCGAAAGCCCUUCUCUGCUCCUUGGUGGGUCAGAGGGCGCCCCUUCAGCGCUUAGUUUCUUCCAGUUCACUCCUUGUUUGCUCUAGGGGCCUAAGUACCCGCUGAGACCCAGCAGCCGUCCGCGCCACCUGGGGGCGUCCCUCAGACUUGGGCAGCAGCAGGUCUGUGCUGCCUCUGCGGGACUGUGGGACCAACCUUUAGGCUGAAGCUUCUCUGACGUGGCCCCCUGGCUGAUGAUGGUUUCCUGGGGCAGAGCACACGGGUACCCACCUACUGGACUGAUGUCAUUCCCGCCACCCCCCGGCUCCUGGCUCUCAGCUCACCUUCCAAAGGCACCUGGAAGCGCACAAGCCUCACGCAUCUCCUUUCCUGGGCACCAAAAAUGCUGCUGGGCCUGCCCGCUCCUCUCCCUUGGCUGGAGACUUCAGGCCGACUCCAUUGUUUCCAGCCUUUGGAAUUCUCCCGGACUAAACUGGGCCUGGCCCAGCGUGCUCUGCCUUCUAGCAAGUGCCCAGCAAGGGGGAAAAUGGGCAGAAAGAAGCAUUUCCCCAGUCACUGCACAGAGCAAUACUUCCGUGAAAGGCAUGGACUUUGUCCCUCUUCCUUCCCCCCACGGAGGAGGUAUGGCACUUUACCAAGCUGGCGCGUUCCUCCAGAGGUGGGCCCUCGGUGUCUCCGAACUAUCAUGAGGAGGACUUCACUGGAGGAAAGCGCCCUGGGCUUUCACUCUGACCCUCUACUUAUGGCCCUGUUCCUAGAGAGCUCACCUACUUAAUGUAUUUCCCACUAGGAUAUGAACUCCUUGACGGCGGGUAUUUUUUUUCCAAUAUCCCCAGCACCUACCAGGAAUUUCUGGAAUUGUUGGUUGAAUUAAUGAAAAAUCAAGACAUACAUAUUUGAGAAAACCCAGAAUAUCCCUAAUUCUCUAUUCCUGUAAGGAUAUGAAAAAGAUUAAAACCAGGAAGCAGUUACCUUUAUAGAGGUUCCAGAAGAGGAAGAGCUCACCCCUGCUGGCCGUCGUACUGCCAACAUGCCCAAACAAAUUGACACUUGGAUCCCAGAACACACGGUCAAAACACAGUACUACCUGUGGUUAAAAAAGAAAAAAGGAGCCCAGGAACUGAUGGCAGGGCUCGGAGAACACGGCUUUAAGCACAGCUGUGCCUCACUCAACAGGAAAGACUUCUCAGACCUUACUGAAGUUUCUUCUGAUCUCCUCUCAGUAUGAGCCUAGAAAUCCCUAGCAUGAAUGUAUUCCUUAAAACAACAUUUAGAGUUAUCUGUGUUUUUCUGGGCUUAGGUCCCAGAAGACUUGGUCCUCAUAUACAUAUAAUUAGGCACUGAAAUGAAUGAACUGACAGGCCUCUCACCCUGAUCUCACAGAGCUGAGAGCAUAGCAAAAUACACAAAAAUAUAAACCCCUAUCUUCUCUGACUGCACAACAGGUAUGUAGAGAGAGGCCCAGGGCAAGUUACCUUGUUAAGGUUGCCAAAUCCCAUCCUUUGGACUGCAGAUGUUUUCCACUCAGGAAGAGGCGGCACGAACUGAACAGCUGGGGGCUGCUGCUUCAGCACACCCAAGGGGAGGGUACAGAGAACUGCAUCACACUUAUAAAUAAAGGUCUGGCUUGUGGAGCGGGUAUUCACAGCGAUCACCUCACAUCCUAGAGAUGUCAGAGGGAAAAGACCUUACUGGCGAUAAGGAUGGUACUGAACAUUCACUGCAUGGUAGAAUCUACACACUAUCUCAGUUAAUUCUUACCCUAAGUGUAUGGAGUCUGUUCUCUUCACUUUUUAAUAGAAGAAAACCAACGUGGCGGCGAAGUAACUUCAGACAAGGCCGCAUGGGUCCUAACUGCCAGGAUUCAAAUGCUAAUAGUCCACUUCAGAGUCCGGGCUCUUCACCGUGUACUUGUCUUACCUUCCUGAUACAGUGGUGAUCUUCUGGGCUAAUCCAAGAGCCUUAUUAUUUACCAAGGGUUAAGUAAAUUUAGACCAAAGUGAAGAAUAAAGGUCUGUAACAACGAAAGCAGUGCCUCUCCAUGGUGGUUAGGUGCUUACUAAGGACCAGGAGAGGAACGACCCCAGGAGACCAUGGUGCGGAUCUAUGGGAUGCCACUAGGGUGCAGAGCGUGCUGUUCUGGAGAAGGAACUGUGACGCCUAGUUUGCCAGAGUCUGAAUAAAGCUCAGAGUGGACCACAGAAUAGGCACUGAAAAGAGGUUACUGUUAUUCUUCCUCAUUUGUGUUUUUUUCCUUCAAUAAGUACCUAUUUAUAGAAUUUCAGAAAAUACAUAAACAGCUCAAAAUUGGUAUGAGAACUCAGUUCAUGUCCACUUUCUCACUUUCUUCACCUGCCUGCAAAUGGCUAUUUAAAAGCCACAGGUCUCAACAUCAACUAGAAGCUGCAAAUGAAGGGGAAAUCAAAUGGAAAACGGUUUUAGGGGUUGUAAAAAAAGAAUAUCUGCAGUAAUCUCGGCAGUUCUAGAAAAGCAGCCAUGAAGGGCAAGCAAGGUUGAUUGCCAUAUCUCCACUUGUCAUGAGGGCCCUGGGGGGAGGGGCGGGGGGGACUAGCUAUCAUCAAGAGUUCUAGACUAUUAAUUCCAAAGGUGGGUGGACAGCGGGUUCUCUGUACUCUACAUUAAGUGUGCCCUGAAACCAGCAACAGUGAGCACUGAGCCUUCUGCCUGUGGGAAUCAGGGCAAUUCCAUCUUUGAAGUCUGAUACUGCUCCCAGUAUCAGAAACCAGAUUGAGCAGUUAGCCCACCUGAACAGGAAAGGCUAGAAUGGAUCCAAAGAGCAAGACACAGAUAGUAAAAUACAAGGAGUGGGUCCCACUGUGCCCAGAGGCCAAAAUCCUGGUCUUUUAAGAAUAUACUCAGUCGGGCGCCUGGGUGGCUCAGUCGGUUAAGCAACUGCUCCUUCGGCUCAGGUCAUGAUCCUGGGGUCCUGGGAUCGAGCCCCAUGUAGGGCUCCCUGCUCAGCAAGGAGUCUGCUUCUUCCUCUCUUCUCCCCCUGCCCCGGCUCAUGCUCACUCACUCUCGCUUUCUCUCUCUCAAAUAAAUGAAUCUUAAAAAAAAAAAAAACCACUCAGCAAAAAUUAGGUCCAAACUCACUGGCAGUUGUUAACAAAGUAACUCAAGUACAAAUUGGAAACUUGCCUCAAUUUUCCGGUUUACGCAAUGAUGGAUUAGAAUGCCCAAAGGCUCUAGAGGCUCAAUCCUUUUGUCAAUGCAGAUUUUUAAAAUUAGGGUUCAUAGUUUAUAUGAUAUGACAUUUCAACAGGAAAUGUACCUAACAUUUUUUUCUGUAGGUCAAACUCAACAAAAGAUCAGUACCGUGUUUCAGAGUAAGAGACUUAUCGCCCCAGUGAAGCAGGGACGUACCCGAAGCCGUGUAGCGAACCUGCCGCACCGCUGUGUUCAAUUUAAUGUCCAGGCCUUCCGCUAAAGCCACAGGUACACAGGAGUAGCCAUUCCUCACUGUCAGGUGGCUGCCAGUAAACUCAAAGUCGUCAUCCUAAAGAGGAGAGAAAAGUCCAUCCAUUUUCUUAACUUAAUGCCAUACAUCCUGAGUUCUGUAAGAUUAAGACUGAAAAACAACAGUUUGUGGAAAACAGUCAAUAUGCUAAGGCAGAAAUUAAAAAACCAGCACUCAGUAUUCAGUUACAGCUAUCCCAGGAAACUAGAGAAAAAAGAAAAAAUGCUUAAAUGUCCCUAAUGGCCACCUCUGGGCAGUGAGAUUAGGGCAGUUUCUUCUUCCCUAGAUUGAGUUUUCUCCUCAUAGUCCAACACCCAACCUCUCAGUCCAGACUAUCCAAGAGGGUGGGGGAUGGGAUCUCUCGAAGAAAGAGGAUUCAAUAAAUUCAGAUGUAUGUUUGGCUUUUGAAUGCAUUACAGAUUUGGUAGAAUAUCAGAUUCACCAUCCUAAUCACAUCUUCUUUACCUAAGAACAAAAUCAGUUUUUAUUUCUUAAACUUACAGGCUUGAAAGAUGAGGAAGACUUCCAAAACUAAAGUUGGUCAAACUAGAUAAAAACAAUCUGGGAUUAUAAAGACUGGCCUAAGAGGAUCCAUAUAGUAAAGAAGUCAGCAUUUGGCCUGGAAGGAUUCCCAAAAUGAUCUUAUUUCUUUGAAUCUACUGAAAACUUUUCUGUGUAGAGAAAUUUUUGAAGGCUAGUCAAUUUUCUAAUUUCAUGAAAUUUCUGGGAGAAAACACAGCAUGAUUCUUUUGAAUUACAUAAAAAUACUGGGUUGGCAGAACUCUCACUACUUAGUGACUGAUUCAUCUGCUCCCCAUACCGAUCAGUUCAAAUCACCCACAUUCAGAAUUUAGUAAGAUUACGAAUGGAUACAUAUUGAAACUUCAAAUGAUAAAUCAGUGAUGAGGAAGGGUCUAAUUUAGUAUUACAGGGGGAAAAACAACAACAAAAACAACUGGGAAUUCUCUAAGAUUUUUACCACUAACAGGUCCAAUCCUCUAAGUCAAACACUAAAGAAUAUGAAGGUAUAACCUAAAGAUUAAGAAUGCAAACUAGGGGCGCCUGGGUGGCUCAGUUGUUAAGCAUCUGCCUUUGUCUCAGGUCAUGAUCUCAGGGUCCUGGGAUCGAGCCCUACAUCGGGCUCCCUGCUCCACGGGAAGCCUGCUUCUCCCUCUCCCACUCCCCCUGCUUGUGUUCCCUCUCUCGCUGGGUCUCUCUCUGUCAAAUAAAUAAAAUCUUAAAAAAAAAUUUUUUUUCAAACUAAUUUUACAAGGAAAAUGUACAAUGGAAAUGAAAAUAUGUAAGUAAAAAUGUAACAUUUACUUCUGUAGUCUUAGGUCUGGCCAAAGUCUCAGAUUUAGAGAUUGAUCUUUAAUAUCUAAGAAGCCCUGUGAUUUCUCACCAGUUCAAGAGUAACUCACAUUUAAAAUACAUAAGAAUAAUUUGACAAAAGAUGGGUAAAACCUGUACAUUGAAAACUGUAAAAUAUGGCUGAAAAAUAUUAAAGAAAACCUAAAUAAAUGGAGAAAGAUACCAUGUUCAAAUCCCAGUACCAAUCAAAAUCCCAGAAGGUAUUUUUUUUAAUAGAAAUUGACAAGCUGAUUCUAAAAUUUUUAUGGAAAUACAGAAGACCUAAAGUAGCCAAAAUGAUUUAAAAAAAAGUUGAAGAACUUACACUCUCCUAAUUUCAAGAUGUACCAUAAAGCAACAGUAAUCAAGACAAUAUGAUAGGGGCAUGUGGACAAAUGAAUGAAUAGGAAGGAGUAACCACAGUCUCACACAUGGUCAACUGAUUUUCAAAAAAGGUGCCAAGACAAAUGAAGAAAAAGGAUGGUGCCAGAAUAAUUAAUUAGAUAACCAUAUGGAAAAAUAUGAACCCUACCCUCAUCUCUCAUUGUACAUGAAAAUUAAUUUAAAAUGAAUCAUAGACCUAACAUUAGAGCUAAUAAGUCCAUAAAACUUCAGGAAGAAAACAAGAGAAAAUUUAGUUAUCUAAGUUUAGACAAAGAUUUUUCAGGAUACAAAAAGCACAAAGAUUAUAGAGAGUUGAGGAAAUAGGAACUUCAUAAAAUUAAAAAGUUUUGUUCUUUGAAAGAUACCAUUUAGAAAAUGAAAAAGGAAGCUGUGGACUGGAGGAAAAUAUUUACAAAGGAAUUGUAUAAAUACUGACAAAGGAAUUGUAUCCAGGAUCUAAAGAACAGAACAUAAUGAACUCUUACACAAUUUAGUAAGAGAUCAACCAGAUUUUAAAAUAAUGGGCAAAAGAUCAGAACAGACUUUUCACCCAAGAACUGACAUACAAAUGACCAAUAAGUACACGAAAAGGUGCUUCACACCACCCAUCAUUCAGGAAAUGCAAAUUACCACUACAAUGAAAUGUACCAUACACCCAUUAGAAUGGCUAAAUUUUUAAAAACUGGCAGUACCAAGUGUUGGUGAGGAUGUGAAACAACUAGAACUUUCAUACACUGCUGGUGGGAAUGCAAUUUAGAAUAAUUUGGAGUUUCUUAUAAAGUUAAAGAUCUAUGUAAGACCCAGCAAUUUCACUCCUAAAUAUACCCAAAAGAAAGAUGUGAAUGUUCAUAGCAGCUCCAGUCAUUUAUAGCCAAAAAAAAACUGGAAACAAUCCAAAUGUCCACCAAUGUACCAGCGUAUGGAUAAACAAUCUAUGGCACAUCCAUACAACAGACUACUACUAAACAACGAAAAGGAACAAACCACUGAUAUCUCAACAACAAAAAUGAAUCUCAACAACUUUGCUAAGUGAAAGAAAUUGCACACAAAAGGCUGGCGCCUGGGUGGCUCAGUCGUUAAGCGUCUGCCUUCAGCUCAUGUCAUGAUCCUGGGGUCCUGGGAUCGAGCCCCACAUCGGACUCCCUGCUCAGCAGGAAGCCUGCUUCUCCCUCUCCCACUCCCCCUACUUGUGUUCCUGCUCUUGUUAUCUGUCAAAUAAAUAAAUAAAAUAUUAAAAAAAAAAAAGCUACAUUCUGUAUGAUUAUAUACCGUAUUUGUUCAAUUUAUAUGUAAUUCUAGAAAAGCAAAACUACAGUGACAGACAGGAAAAUCAGGGGUUGUCUUGGGCCAGGAGUGGGAGGGCUGGGACUGACUACAAAGAGGCAAGGGAGAACUUUCCAGGGUGGAAAUGUUCUUUAUCUUCAUUGUGGUGGUGAUUCAUGACUAUGUACCUUUGGCAAAACUUCAAACUGUUUGCUUAAAAUAGGUAAAUUGUACUGUAAUGUAAAUUCUAUUUCUUAACAAAGCUGUUUAAACACACACAUACAAAUUAAGUUUCUCCUAAGAGCCCUUUCAAAGAUGUGUGCAACAAAAUAAAUGAUAAAGGAAUUUUACCUGAUCCCAAUGUUUAAGGGAGAGUGUAGAGAGAGGUGUGGCAUUAGCAAAUUCAAGAUUUGCAAAAUGCCAAUCAAGUAUUUGUCUGUCUCUUGAUGAGAGAUACACGUCACUGCAAAAUGAAAACAGAGGAGCGCAGGUUAUUUAAAGGACUACUAUUCUCAGUGGGCUGAUGGGGACAAUCUCAGUAACUGAGGAAACCUAAGCCUGGUACUGUGCCUUAUAUAAAGAAAUUAUAAGUCAAAAAAUAGGACCUUAUCUGUCUUAACUCCUUUAUUACUGGUGCUGAGAGCAGUGCCAAGCUCACUACAUAAAACAAAUUACUAUCAGGCUUCAUUUGUCUUGGCAGGGGUGGGGAGACAGGGCGCCUGGGUGGCUCAGUCGGUUAAGUGUCUGCCUUCAGCUCAGGUCCUGAUCCCAGGGUCCUGGGAUGGAGCCCCACACUGGGCUCCCUGCUCAGUGGAGAGUCUGCUUCUCCUUCUCCCUCUCCCCCUGCUUGUGCUCUCCUCUCCCAUUCUGUCAAAUAAAUAAAAAUCUUAAAAAAAAAAAAAUUAUCGGUACCUGGCAUUAUAAAAGCGUUUUUGUUUUAUAAAUAAUGAUUUUUUUUUUUAAAGCAAGAAUGGGUAGCAUCCCCAACUCCAGAACAGAGUAGAUAUACUGGAGGCCAGAUACACCAUGAAGCACAGUAUUCACUAUCAAAAAUCCAAUGGAAACAAAGUAUAAUACUUUCCUAGUCCUCAGAAUUAUGGGAAUUUAAAGCAAUACCACAUUCUAUUCCACUCACAGGAAAACAGUAUAUUUCAUUCAAAUAUCAGAUCUUAUAGAGAAAGGUUAUCUUUUCAAAAACAAAUAUAUUUAAAUAUUUUGGACACUCCUACACAUUAAAAUUAUAAUCCAUUCACUGGACAUAAAUAAAACCCACAGUGCUUUGUAAUUUUCCUUCUAAAUAUAACAAAGAACAGCAAAAGCUAUCCCUCUGAACAUUUGUGUGUUUUCCUCACCUUGGGGGAUUGGCUUCCAAUUCUUGAAGUUUUUCUUCUAACUUUCCUUGUGUUUCAGUUAAUUCAUCAUAUUCCUGAUAAAAUGAAGAGAACUGGGUUGAUCUUAAUGAGUCAGAGACCAACCUAGUUAUUUAUACCACAAAGUGUAAGACCUGGACCACCUGCCUAUCCAGGUCGUAUCUGUGAGUAUGCCUCAGGCUAAGGCUGGAUCAGGGCUCAGGGAUGGUUGUUCUUGGAGACAAGUUACAGUGUGAGCCCAGAAUGAAGAUGGGGUGUGGAGGAGGGAGCGGGCAUGCAGCAGGAGGAGAUAAAGGAAGAAGAGCAUACUAGUAUGCUACAAGUAAGAGUGAAAAAGAAUAGCAAGUACCACUUCCUGUGCAUUUACCAUGUCCCUAGCAUGGGAUAAAGCACUUAAGAUCCCUUACAAAGAAGUAUUAACACUGUGUCACAGAUGAGGUGAUUAAGGAAUCUAAGAUCCCAUGGCUAAGAGAUAACUAAGUUAGGGAUUUCAACCAGACAGUUUGAUACCAAAUGACUGAAGUCUAUGUUAUCAUUAUUCUAAACUGACAGCAGUAAACUAUGACAGGGAGCUAAACUAAAAUGUAAGUAAGUUAAAGUAUAAGACUGAAAACAAAGUAGGAAUUCUGCAGAAAAAGCAGAUCUCAAACUAAACUAAUCCAUUCAGUCCCCUUGGUUCCUGUGUACCAAACCCUCUUCUUCUUACCACAGGCACCUGUGAUUGGUUAGUGAUUCUCCCUUUUCCAAAGUUUCCCAGAUCUAUAUUCUUUCUUAGGAUCCCAAGGGAAACCACCUAGGCAUGUAUGUAUACCAUACCUUGCACAGGGCAGUCAGAUCCCUGUGUUUGCUUUUCACUAAGAACUCGGCAGUGAUAUCUCUGGGUGGCUUGACCUCAGAUGCUUCUUUGUAUUGCUGAUGGAGUUCUUUAAUUUUCUCUUUCAAAUUUACCAUCUAAGAGGGAAAAAUACAAAUUUACCAUUUCAGAUAGUGAUGUAAUCCAUCUCCAAAUCACAUGCUUCAGUUCCUCCCCUAAACUGCUAGUGUACCAAAACAGGUUACAAUGCAAGGUUCCUGAAACUCUUAAAUAUCUCUUCUAUAUGAUGACAUUUUAGAAUAGGAAAAAAAAUCCUGUAUGGUUCAACACAGAGGUAUCACAUCAUUAUCAGAGAAGUAAGAUCAUUUCUGUCUUCCAAAACAAAUGGAGAACGAGGAGUGUUCCAUUAAUUUAAAAACAUAUGUGUAUAUAUAUAUAUACACAUACAAAAAUCAAAUUCCAGGAAAAACAAAGCACCACUUAAACUUAUUGUUUUGGGGAACAAAUUAUUAUGAUUUGUUUUCUAAAUUAUGUAAAGGCUAAAUCACCACACAGAACCUUCCAGAGCCAUUCCUAAUGUUAGUCUCUCAGCUUUCUGAUGGUACUGGGUCUCACAGCUAUCCUGCCAACUGGCUGUUCUCCAGCCUCUCUGCUCAUUUCACACAUGCCACACACAAUCCAUGAAGAAGGUGGGCACAGACCUCUUCUCAUUUGACAAGAUGAAAAAACAAGGCACAGUGAGAGAGUGAGGCAAGAGUCUGGUCACAAGAUACACCCAGAUUUUGCAUCAAAAAGCUCCCCACAGGAGCUGUCCCGCUUCAUGUUUUCUCCCUAAGCUGAUAAUACGUUUGCAGCUGGUAGGAUGAAGAGAAAACAAAUGGUUUCCCAGACUGGAACCAGGCCUCUGCGAAGUGGUGGGAAAGAAGAGCCCUCAGCAGACAUACCACUGAGGACUAGCCCCAUAACUGGCACCUCAAGUGAAAUAAUUAUGGCAAUGAAUUAUGGUCCUGGCUGCAGACCUGUUGUCCCCAUCAGUGGGAUUUGACCCCAGCGCAACUGAUCUCCCUCUCAUCACAGAAUCCAGCAGACGGCACUGGGCUAGCUUUGCCAAAGGGAACCUGACACAGAAAAAGAUCUAUUUCCCCUGGCAAUAAUUUGCCAAUAAUACCAUACUGAAAGACUGACAGAUAAAAACCGUGCCUUUUGUUAGUCACUAUUAUUAUUAUUAUUUUUUAAGAAUAAUGAGUCCCAGCUGCGCGGACCUUCUCUCCCCCAGAAGAAAAAAAACGAAACUGAGAAUUUCUAAAGCCAUGCCCCCCACCCCCAAUGCAUCUUCAGCUUUGAAGAAAAUAUAAAAUUUUACCUUAUUAAGAAGUUCUUUCAACUCCUCCUGAGUCUUCACUAUCUUCUUCCAAUGUUCAAUUUGCUCAUCUUUGACAUGCUUUUCUUGCAACCUAAAAGAGACAAUACAUAUGCCUUGGCCACAAAGCCAGCUUUGCAGCCCAAGAUAGGAACCCAUCAAAAACAUUCAAGGACAUCAAAGCCCACUGAAAUUUCUAAAACUUUGGAACAAGAAAGUUGGUGGGUGGCAAAUUAUUUUCUAGGCUAUGUUAAAUAAUAUAGUUCAGUACCAUAAAAGCUGUGAAUUUUAGAAUUGAGAGGGGCCUUAAGGAUCAUUCUUUUUUAAAUGGUUUUGAGAUUUAAAUUCACACGAAAGUAAGUGAAAACUAGCUCAAAUAAGACUUGCUAAAAACCUUAAAGCAUAAAUAGCAAAUCUCUAAAUGGAAUUCACUAUACAACAAGCAGUAUCAAAGUACUUACUGAAUGACAACUUCCAAUGCCUGGCCAAGGGACACAGGCUUAUUAUUGAGGACAUUGAAGUCUAGCUGAUGACUAAGGUAAGACGUAGCUUCUAGCAACCGGUUAAACUCUUGCUCUACCAUUUCAUCUUUCUCUUUAGGAACCUGAAAAUUCGAAGUAUAGCAGAGUUGGUCCUUAUAAGACUAAACGUAACCAUCCAUGAAAACACAAAUGCUCUACAGUUUAAAAGGUCAAAAUAUGUACCUCAAAGGGGGAACUUUGAGGACAAUGAUUCCAACUUUCUUUUCUAUGAAGUGGUCAAUUCCAUUAAAUGAGGUAUGAAAUGUUUGGCCCUAAUAUUUUCUAUUCUCCCAAUUUUGCCCUCCGAGCUGGGACUCCACCUCUAUUAACAGCCAUAGGAUUCACACUGGGUGCUAACUGGUGCUAACUGAAGUUACGUGGAGCACAAGGUGUCCUGGAGCUGACAUGCACUGAAAGAAGCUGGGCCGACAUGCAAAUGACACACUGGAGAAGUCUCAGAGAACAAAAACUAUGUCAACACACCUGAGGACCCUCCAGAAUAAGGGCAGGAUGGAAAAAUAAGAAGCCCAAGGUAUUGUCUUUCCCUCAAAGAUGAAUUUCAGGUGGGAGUAGGGAAGAGAGAAGUGAAAUUCACGACUAUUAAUGAGAACACAAUAGCACCUUCAUUCUUUUGCAGAGUAACAGUGUUUUAUGGCACCAAUUAAGUUCAGAGUUGAAUAUCCAAAGCUCUUAGACUAUGAGUGACUGAGGUACCAGGUCUGGCUCACUACUGUGCAGGAAGAGAGCAGACUGCAAAGCAGAUCAUCAAGCUGCAAGACCACAUUCCUAAUCCCUGCUGUGCCCCUGCCUGUUGAUAUCAUCAGUUAGUCGACCCAAAUCCCUCUGCUACCGCUUAAUUCAGUCCUAAAGCAAACUGCAUCUGCAAUUUUACUGAAUUCACGGUAGUAGCAAGAAGGAAAAAGCGUAUCUAAGGCAAGCAUGUCUAAAGCAAGCAUCUCUUGCCAGAAUAAACUGGGCAUCAACUGGGAAGUGGGAUUCAAAAUACGGAAUUUUACUUUACAGCCAACCUAAAAUUGGUAAUAAGAAGACAGCAUUAAAGAAAGUUCUAAUAAACAUUAAGGCCAAGGAGGAGUGCAGGGGUAACUUGUGGAUGAGAUCAUUUGAAAUGAUUCUACCUCUCAUUUGAAAUGCCUUAGUUUUAGCCCUUUCCAAUUAAAGAGACAAUUUUUAAGGCACUAGUCUCUUUCCCUUCACUGAGGAGUUGCACAAGUAACUCUAUAAGAUGAGCCACGGUGUGGCAAAAGAAUAUGGCAAGAAGUACAAUCUGCACCCAAAAAAGAAAGGGAAAAGGACUGCACCUCUCUUUUGGAACUGUAAAUAUGACACCAUAACGGACCCAAUCAGAAUCAUAUUCUAAAGCAUCAAAUUCUAAAAGGCCAAAGAUGGGAGCAAUCAGGAAAUCUUUAUGAAUUAGAGAAUCCCCCUUGGCCUAAGAAAUAUAAAUCCCUGAGAAUCUUCUGGUUUAUGUUGAGAAAUAAGGCAGAGAAUCAGACUUUGGAUGUUUGGUGCCCUUUAUAUAUGAGUGGUACCUAAGACAUGGUGGCUCAAACACAUCUGGCCUACCCAUUCAACUCCAUGGCCAAAGGAAGGAGCUCUUGGGUGACAUCCCUACUUGUUCUGAUUACACAGCUAUCAGAGCUGAUGGAUGAGACCCUUUUGGUCAGGAAGUUCAUUUACUUUCUCGUCAGCUGCUUUUCCUCAGUGAUGUGAUGGGUCACAUACAGAGCAGCUCAAAGCAAUGCUGAAAUUUUGCUCAGUGUGAUUCCUGCAAUGAUGUUACCAAAGAUGGUUCUAGAAACUCUAAAUUCGGUGUUUCUUUAAAAAAGGAAACAAUUGCAUUUUUAACACAAAAUCUAUAUAGUUAUGAGACCUUAACUGAUCCCAGAUGCCAUGUGCAUGACUGCUUUUCCUGGAAUACAAAAUAGUGAUAUUUCUAUGUGUGACUUCAAAAAUGCCUAGCAAGAGGAUGCUAUAGAAGCAAGAGGGACCAGAUCACAUGUGCUCUGCAAUAGGGCAGAAUGUGCCAAUACACAGUGUGCAAAUGGUACAGAUUAAAGCUCUUCCAGUGUCAACUGGAUGGCUUGCUUCAGACAAGCUUUAAUCUCUAUAGCUAGGGUGACAGUCACAUAGGGAAGUUCAUACUGAAAAAGUACGCAGCACUCAGGCUCAGUAACUGGGGUCCAGGGUGUGUGGUAGAGAAACAUUUAAAGGGACACUGUCAAGGUUAGAGGGACCAAAUUUGACCUUUUGUUUCUUCCCUCUGUUUGCUGAGCAGCCCACUUGAUUCAUAACACUUUCCCCUUCAGUCCACCCACCCCCCCCCCCACAAAAACCUUUUUACAUGCGCUUUCAAUGACAAAAACUCAAAUGGCACCAGCCCAACAUAUAGGCGCAACUCUACAACAACAAACCAGUGUGAAUGUAUGAUGGAGAGGAUCUUUGGAAGGGAAAGAUCUAAGUUUCAAGCUUUUAAUGGGUUAUUGUAAACAGUGAAGAAAAUGAUUUGAAAAAUUAUUAAAAAAAAAAUACCUUGACAGUGUCCUUUUAACCAGUGCAGCAGAGAGAGAAAUAAACUGUAAAUAACAGCCCAACAGCCACGUCAAGUUAAGUUUUGUAUGACAGCAGUAAAAUCAAGGCUUUAAACACACAGCAUGACAGAAGCAUUCUGUUAGCUCAGAAGCUGCAACCACCAGAGAAACAAGGAAUAGACUGUAGAGAGACCAAAAUGGGAAAGUCAAGGCACAGAAAUGGGCAAAAGAAAGGCAGUUUGGGGGCGGGGGGUGUGAGGGUGGUAAAGGGAGAUGGUGUCAGAAAGCAGUGAGGAAUAAAGCAAAACUCAAUAAAAAAGGAAAAACACAGAACAGUAACAAGAACAACAAAAUCAAACAAACAAAAACCAAACCAAAAGAUGACUGCCUCAUCUGACUGACACCAGGAUGACAGACUGCAUCUCUGGCCCACUGACUGGGUCCACUGCUCUAACUGGAGACUCCACUCUCCAGAAUAUGAGAGACAGCACUUAGGCCCCACCCAUUUUCCACCUAGUUAAGCAAUUUUAGGACUGUUGCCAGAGAGACCAGGGAUAACAUUCAAACCUGGAUUUUGUUCCCAUUAACUUUAGAAUUCCACUUUGAAAUUAAAGAAAUAUUUGGAAAAUAGCAGAUAUUUGUCAAUUAGGAAACCAACAAUGAUGGGGGAAAAACCAAAAUGUAUUUUUGAUAUACUUAAAUCUUGAAUCUGUUUCUAAAAUUAAACUAGUCAGAUAUGUUCUAUUUGACAUACUCAGACAAUGAAAAGAACUUUAGCAACUGACUAGCCCCUGAGCACCUCUUAAGUACGUAUUUCAGGUCACUGCCCUCUCCUCGGUGAGAACCCUCAAACUGUUAGUUCCAUAAAUAAUUAUGGAAAGGAGCUGAAAUAUUGGCAAUCUUUAAACACAAGUCGCAAUAAUUUUCUUAAAUUGCAUCCUGAGAAAGGAACUCAGUAAAUGACUGGAAGGGGCUAAGCACCAUGUCUGAUGGCAGCUGGAUUUCUAUGACAACAUACUGAGGAGCUAAAACAGCAAACUAAGCAGGGAAAGUAUCUUUGAUAUUGUUCUCUAGCAAAGACUCAAACAAAAAGGCUAUCACUUGAAGCAGACUUUUUUUUGAAACAUUUUGAUUACGACUUUUCAAAGCCAUUUAUUUCUCUAUGAAAGGCCCCAAAUAGUUCCUUCAAUCUAAGAAUCUGGUGUGUCUCACUACUCUAAAUAGGUACAAUCCUGACUGCUUUGGUCCUGUAGAGAUUAUAUGGAGCAUCCCUGAGCGUGGCUGAGCGAAGAGCAGCCUGGGUAUCUAACUCAUGCAGAGUAAAUUUAGGGAGAGCCAAGUGACUUUCCGGACAGGGUCCUAAUCCUGCAGGAAGUCAUUUCAGAGGAAGGACAGCUCUCCUCAGUUCUACCUUUGGUUACAUUCUAUCAUCACAAACCCUUUAGGCCUUCAAAACCCUGUCCAUUUCUCUUGCUUCCAGGGUGCAUAAGCUCUCCAGCAGCAGAGCAAAAUGGAGUUAGGUGCACUUAGGUCCUGGGCACCCAAAGGCUGGAGAUUUAGCCAGAGAAAUCCUCAGGAAGAAUAACACAAUGAAAAAACAGCUGUAAUGUAACCUGGCCAACAGAAGCUACAGUAAAUCUCUGCCUCUCCCAUUCCCAUGCACUUCUAGAAUUAAGAUUAAGAUUAGUUCCUUUGGUGGGCGCCUGGGUGGCUCAGUUGGUUAAGCGACUGCCUUCGGCUCAGGUCAUGAUCCUGGAGUCCCUGGAUCAAGUCCCACAUCGGGCUCCCUGCCCGGCAGGGAGUCUGCUUCUCCCUCUGACCCUCCCCCCUCUCAUGUGCUCUCUCUCAUUCUCUCUCUCUCAAAUAAAUAAAUAAAAUCUUAAAAAAAAAAAAAAAAAAAGAUUAGUUCCUUUGGUAAAACCUGGAAGAAAAA